AACACAUGCAAGUCGAGCGGCAGCGCGAUAUGUAGCAAUACAUAUUGGCGGCGAGCGGCGGACGGGUGAGGAACACGUAGGAACCUACCCUCGAGUGGGGGAUAGCCAAGGGAAACUUUGGCUAAUACCGCAUGAACUCGAGAGAGCAAAGCUGCCGCAAGGUGGCGCUCGAGGAGGGGCCUGCGUCCGAUUAGCUAGUUGGUGAGGUAAGAGCUCACCAAGGCGAUGAUCGGUAACUGGUCUGAGAGGACGACCAGUCACACUGGGACUGAGACACGGCCCAAACUCCUACGGGAGGCAGCAGUUAGGAAUAUUGGACAAUGGGCGCAAGCCUGAUCCAGCCAUGCCGCGUGAGUGAUGAAGGCCUUCGGGUUGUAAAGCUCUUUAGUCCACGAAUAUAAUGACUGUAGUGGAAGAAUAAGCCCCGGCUAACUUCGUGCCAGCAGCCGCCGUAAUAC
rnacentral:rRNA from 1 species